AUGAGGACCCUCACCCUCCUCACUGCCAUUCUCCUGGUGCCCCUCCAGGCCCUGUCUGAGCCACUCCAGGCAAGAGCUGACUAGGCUGCAGCCCAGGAACAGCUUGGGGCAGACGACCAGGACUUUACCAUCUCCUUCACUGGGGACACAAGCUCAGGUUUUAGAGCUUCAGGCCCAAGAACCCUCUUGAGAUGCUCUUGCAGAAUAAGAGAUUAUCAUCUUCAAGAACGCAACUAUGGAACCUGCACCUCCGGUGAGAUUCACUACAAAUUCUGCUUCCUCUGA